GUACAUACUUAUACAUAAUAAGAUUGGAACGAUACAGAGAAAAUUAGCAUGGCCCCUGCGCAAGGAUGAAACAUAUUUCAAGCCUGAUACCAAUCGAUU